GAUGAACGCUGGCGGCGUGCCUAAUACAUGCAAGUCGAGCGAACAGACGAGGAGCUUGCUCCUCUGACGUUAGCGGCGGACGGGUGAGUAACACGUGGAUAACCUACCUAUAAGACUGGGAUAACUUCGGGAAACCGGAGCUAAUACCGGAUAAUAUAUUGAACCGCAUGGUUCAAUAGUGAAAGACGGUUUUGCUGUCACUUAUAGAUGGAUCCGCGCCACAUUAGCUAGUUGGUAAGGUAACGGCUUACCAAGGCAACGAUGCGUAGCCGACCUGAGAGGGUGAUCGGCCACACUGGAACUGAGACACGGUCCAGACUCCUACGAGAGGCAGCAGUAGGGAAUCUUCCGCAAUGGGCGAAAGCCUGACGGAGCAACGCCGCGUGAGUGAUGAAGGUCUUCGGAUCGUAAAACUCUGUUAUUAGGGAAGAACAAAUGUGUAAGUAACUAUGCACGUCUUGACGGUACCUAAUCAGAAAGCCACGGCUAACUACGUG
rnacentral:rRNA from 1 species